CGGGGCUACACAGGAUCAAUGGCAGGAUAAAGAGAAUAGAGGUAACCUGGAGAAAUGUGAACCUCUGGAGUAGCAGCUCUCUGAGUCAACAAAACAGGGUUCUGUGGAUGUUUCGUGCCUCUGUUGCAAAGGUCCAUAAGGUUCACUAGGGCAAACCCCAGGCCACAGGAAUUAGCUCAAGAAGGGAAAUAUGAUCCAAACACCGGGCGAAUAUCUCCAUCGCCAAUAUUUGCUAGAACUAUUAAGAAGCUGCGAGAAGUUGAAGCAUUUUUUUUUUCCUACUGGAGUUGCCUGUCUAGUAAGGAUGACAGUCUGAAGCUUUUGCUGGUCAUCUUGCCACCAUGAAAAGAGGACCCUUCUGUGAAUAAAACCAACGCCGAUGAAGGCA
rnacentral:lncRNA from 1 species